ACUUGCUUGGUCUAUAUAUAGGAUAAGGAUAGAGAAACUGAGAACCAUCAACUAUCAACUCUCGAAAUGAAAGCCAUUCUAGUGGUCUGCUUUCUCUUGCUUUCCACAUUUUUCAUUCCUUCUUCAAAUGCAGCUCGAGAACUAGCUGUUACAGUCGCACCAGUGAAGAAUCCAGGCGCAACCCCAAGCUGUGGUCGCGGAAAAUCAUAUGCUGCAUGUAAGCCACAGCCACCGCCAAAGCCAAAAGCGGAUCCACCUUGUAACGUCUACAGCCGUCGAGGUUGCUCACAACCUUAACCCCUGACUUUCAGAUAAUAAGCACUUAGCUUAUUCUCAUGAGGAGCAAUGGCAAUAAAUAAAAUCCUAAGUGUCAUAUAGGUGGUUUGAAGUUUGCAAAGCCUCUAAUUCGCAGUGUUGUAAUUUGCACUUAAUAAGCUACGGCUUUUUUUUUUUCUUUUCUUUUUUUAUGGGGAAGGGAUAGUUAACCCGAUGAAUACUAUGUAGUUUGUUCUGAAGUGUGCAAAAUAAAAGAGCUGACUAAACUCAGUCCAAUGAUUACUUGUGGGACUUUCAUGCAAA